UACGGGGGGAGCAAGCGUUGUUCGGAUUUACUGGGCGUAAAGGCGCGUAGGCGGCCAGCACAAGUCAGUUGUGAAAUCUCCGGGCUUAACUCGGAAAGGUCAACUGAUACUGUGCGGCUAGAGUGCGGAAGGGGGCAACUGGAAUUCUCGGUGUAGCGGUGGAAAUGCGUAGAUAUCGAGAGGAACACCUGCGGCGAAGGCGGGUUGCUGGGCCGACACUGACGCUGAUGCGCGAAAGCCAGGGGAGCGAACGGG
rnacentral:rRNA from 1 species